CACGGAUCAGGGCGGGACCAUCAGGGCCAAUCAGCUGAGGACCGGUUCUGUCUGUCACUGGAGCCACAACUACUCUGGUUCUGGUUCUGGAGGGAUCCAUUAUCUCUGCUUCAAAGAUCCGGACCAGACCAGAACCUCUGGACAGGUGGACCCGUCUGGGGAGACGGCGUCUUCUGGACGGCCAUGGAGGACGAUCCGGACCGGACCAGCAAGCUGACCGGAUCAGAACCGAACCCAGAACUGAGUCAUACUGUGACCAACCAGGACUCAGUUUUGGAUCUUUAUGAUUAUACCGUCAGUGAUCUGCCAGGGUUUCGUCCCAGGAUUAGUUGGUAAACGUGCCCUGCUGCCCUGCUACUCUGAUUCUGCAUCUGAUAAUGUCUUCUGGAGGGACAAAGACAACAACAAUCUGCUGGACAUCAACAAAGACACUCCCAACCCAAAGCUCCAGCACCAGAGGUAUAAAGGUCGAGUGUCCUGGUCCCAGACAGAGUUCAAGAAAAGGAACUACUCCAUCACCUUAGGGAACCUGAAGCUGGAGGACACUGGAACCUACGAGUGCAGCGUCGUCAUUGAUGGUGUUGAAUCAAAACAACCCAUAAACUUGGUGGUGAAAGAAGAUGUGAAGAACUCACACAAUGCUGGAGACACAAGCUGUGUGUCCAGCAGACGGAUCGUCCUGCAGACGUUGGUCCUCUCUGCUCUCAGCCUGAUCAUCUACUUCUAACAUGAAGUUUAAACAUCUCUGCUCUGCUACUUUCAAUCAUUUAUUUACAGAUAAACUUCAACUUUAAGCAGCUUCUCAACAUUAGUCUAGUAUUAAACUGCAGACAUUACCAUCCUCCACCUGUUACCGUUUUAUCUCCAUACAAGUUAAAACCUCCAGUCAAUAUUCUGAAGCCUGACAAGAAAACUUAUCAGACCAGGACAUGGAAUCACAGCUGUCCAGUUUUAUAUCUGGUUUCUCCUCUACAGCUGGAGAAUGUAGCCAUUUAAUGUCAGGACAGCUUGUUAUGAGACAAUCUAUGAAAAGAUGGGUCUCCUCCCUCUGUCGUCUCCCUGAGGAGGGACUCAUAACAAACGGUCACAACAUGGAGACAGUCUCAAUAAAUAUGGAAAAAUAUACUUUUUAAAAAAGUUACAUACCACAGCUUGAAGGAGAAGGUCAAGAGUUCAUGUAAACAACUGGAGCUGUUGUUGACAGAAUCACCCUUAAGAUUAUUUAUUUAUGAACAUAAAUGUUUUAAAAGAAGUAACAUUUUUCAAAAUUUGAUAUGUUUUUGUCCGUUGCUGUCAAAAAAUAUUUAGCUAAUUUUUCAUAGCAGACAAAUAUUUAGUGCAGCCGAGUUCCUAUAAAAUGCUUUUAUUUAUUGGUAGCAUCUGCUUGAUGUAAGACUGGAACAUGUCUUCUUCUUCUUCUUCUUCUUCUUCUUCUUCUUCUUCUUCUUCUUCUUCUUCUUCUUUAGGCCAAUCAGCUUCAAUGUUUAUGAAGGAAGAACAUUUAUAUUCAACUUAUGUUAUUAUUUAUGUUUUUAUUUAUCCAUUACUAAAAGACUGAAACUUGGUAUUAUUUCUGUUAGAUAUUGUUCCAUACAUUCUGUGGGGAAAUGAGGAGCUUUUGAAGAUGAUGAAUUAUUAUUUGAUGAAACAUCUAUAGGUAACGAAUAGUUACAUACAUGAUGAUGAGAGUCACUCCCAAAGGUUUAUCUAGUGCAUUCUACUCUACAUCAUAGAAUAAAACUGGUCCGUUAAACUGAUUGAAAUUUAAUUUAAAAAUAAAAUUAAACUGUAACUCUUAUUUUGUCUGUUAUAACUCAUUUCUGCCACAAGAGGGAGCCAGUUCACUAUGACUGAUGAGGUGAUGCUUGCUUGGUUACUAGAAUAGAGAUCAAAUUAGAAGUAAUGUUUAGUGUUCAGGUAAUAUUUGACAUCAUCGUCUCCAUGUGGAUGUGAUGCGUUCAGCAGGUUGCUGCUCUGUGAAGGUUAAUAUACUGAUGUGUUGUCCAACCUGAGCUUUCUGACAUCUGAAGAUCAUCUAAAUGAUGUGAGGUUUAUGUAGCUUUUCUGGUUGUUUUUGGUUCCUUAAUAUUUGCUUCGAUUUUUUUAGCUGCUUGCUAAGAUUUUGUUGACUGAUUAUGUCCAUAAAUAAUGGAAUGACAAAAAAAAUGGACUGUUUUUCUACUUUAGUUUUAAGAUGAUGGUUCCACAUUCAUCCGUUGUGCGUUGCAGAUAAAAGGCCUUUCCAACCGAGGGCCUGGGCUGCAGAUGCUAAUGAUGCUGGGUAGAUGCUGAAGAUGAAGCGCUUUGCUGAAGGGCAGCCGACCUGACAGGAGGAAGCAGGAACUGAACCCAGAACGUUCAGAAUCUGAGCCACAAUCAUCUUAAUCUGAGAGGUUUAGCAGCAGGUUUCCAAUGUUGGGUUCAAUUAUUUUAGAGGAUUUGAUGAACUUUGUUGGCAGAACCGUUCCAGCCGGGUUUGAAGCCUUCUGGACCAAAAGCUGCAGGAAGCUGUUGAAGUUCAUAACACAGAGCUGCUCGAUCAGCUCCUCCAUGUUCAGUCAUGAUAAUCAGAUAAUAUUAACCAAAAGAGCCGUUCGGGUCAAACUACUUCUGUUUUUCUCCAGUGUUGUUCCUAGGAACCGGUUCUGGUUCUGUUCGUCCUGCAGCAGGUUGCUCUGGUUCAGGUUUCUACUUGGCCCAGUCGUCCUGCAGCUGCUGCUGUUUUUCUAUCAUCUGUAGAAAAAUUGACUGAAAUGUUGUGGCCUAGUCCAAGCCCGGCCUGGUUCCUGGAGUGUGAAUGACUUUCACUUCCGUGUUGUGAGCCGGUUCUGGUCUCAGUGACUCUGAUCAGACAGGAAGUGGAGAUCAGUCUCUCUGCUGCCUCACAGCAGAGCAGCAGCCCGUCUGAUGGAUCUGCUGGGGACGGUUCUGCUGCUGGUUCUGGUGGGAUCAGAGGCCCAGAACCUGGUGAAUGUUACUGUAGAACUGGGUCAGGAUGUGACUUUAAACUGCUCCUUUAACAGUAGUGACUUUUUCUGGUUCAUGAAGAUCCACAGCCAGUUCAGAGCAGAAAUUGGACGUAUUCGUUCUUCAUCAUCCCCUGUCUGCAGCUCUCCAGACUUUAAAUCAAAGUUCUCCAUGUCUGGAAACCAGCUGGUGAUUAAAACCGUCUCUGCUGAGGACAGCAGGCUGUACUACUGUGGGAUGAGGCAGAGCGAUCAGAUGGUUUACAAAGACACCUUCAGUCUAUCAGUCGUCCCCUCGGUUCGUCCAACCACAUCCAUCCCAUCCAUCCCGUCCAUCCCGUCCGUCCCCCGGUCAUCAACCCCUCCCUGCCCCGCAACAGGGCGGUUCGUUCAGCCCGUCACGGCGGUUUCUCUGGGCCUCAAUGCCGUCCUGCUGGCUGCUGCUGUUGGUUUUCUUUGUGUCUAUAUAAGGAGGAACGGCAGCUGCAGCUGCUGCUGCAGGGCGAAGGGCUCUGCAGCAUACAACAUGGAGAACGACGACAUGCAGAGCCCACAGUACGAGGAGAUCCAGCUGCCCCCCACUCCGGUUCCGGUUCGGGUUUCAUCAGAAUGCAUCUACUACAAAGCUCAACAUCCCAACUCCAAGAUGCGUCAAUACUGAGUCACACCUGGACAGGUGAGCCGGUCUGAAGGGAGUCCAGGAAGUCCAGCUUCCUGCUUCUGGACGCUAUGAACUCUGGGAAAUGACCGCUGGCCGAAGGAGUCUGAGCCGCUGAUAUUGUCGACGGGCCAAAAGCUGCUUGCUGAUUGGCUAGAAGCCCCACCUGGAGGACACACGGUGUCAUGACAACCAGACCGAACAGGAACAGCAACGUGAUAACCAUUGUGGUGGAUUUAAUACAAAGUUACAACACACUUAUGAGAAAAUACUUGUGGGUGAGAAACGGGGCAGAGCUUAGAGAAAGUCAACAAUGAAUUAAUAACUUUAUUGUUGUUUAAUAAACAGAGAAAAUCAAUAAACCAAAGAGGCUGACAGGAAAUAAUCAUUAAUGUUUAAGGAAAUAUUUAAUAAAACGUGAGAAUAAUCAAAGGAAGUGAGACUCAAACUAAAACGUGACGAGUUGU